rnacentral:rRNA from 1 species
AUUGAACGCUGGCGGCAUGCCUUACACAUGCAAGUCGAACGGCAGCACGGGUGCUUGCACCUGGUGGCGAGUGGCGAAAGGGUGAGUAAUACAUCGGAACAUGUCCUGUAGUGGGGGAUAGCCCGGCGAAAGCCGGAUUAAUACCGCAUACGAUCUACGGAUGAAAGCGGGGGACCUUCGGGCCUCGCGCUAUAGGGUUGGCCGAUGGCUGAUUAGCUAGUUGGUGGGGUAAAGGCCUACCAAGGCGACGAUCAGUAGCUGGUCUGAGAGGACGACCAGCCACACUGGGACUGAGACACGGCCCAGACUCCUACGGGAGGCAGCAUUGGGGAAUUUUGGACAAUGGGCGAAAGCCUGAUCCAGCAAUGCCGCGUGUGUGAAGAAGGCCUUCGGGUUGUAAAGCACUUUUGUCCGGAAAGAAAUCCUUGGCCCUAAUACGGUCGGGGGAUGACGGUACCGGAAGAAUAAGCACCGGCUAACUACGUG